rnacentral:rRNA from 1 species
UACGAGAGCCUCGAGCGUUAUCCGGAAUUAUUGGGCGUAAAGGGUGCGUAGGUUGUUCUGUUAGUCUUUUGUCAAAGCCCCGGGCUUAACCUGGGAAUUGCGGGAGAAACGGCAGAACUUGAAAGUGCGAGAGGUGUACGGAACUCAAGGUGUAGGGGUGAAAUCCGUUGAUAUCUUGGGGAACACCAAAUGCGAAGGCAGUACACUGGCGCAUAUUUGACACUGAAGCACGAAAGCGUGGGUAGCGAAUGGG